rnacentral:rRNA from 1 species
UACGUAGGGUGCGAGCGUUGUCCGGAAUUACUGGGCGUAAAGAGCUCGUAGGUGGUUUGUCGCGUUGUCCGUGAAAACUCACAACUCAAUUGUGGGCGUGCGGGCGAUACGGGCAGACUGGAGUACUGCAGGGGAGACUGGAAUUCCUGGUGUAGCGGUGGAAUGCGCAGAUAUCAGGAGGAACACCGGUGGCGAAGGCGGGUCUCUGGGCAGUAACUGACGCUGAGGAGCGAAAGCGUGGGAAGCGAACAGG